GCAACUGAAGGGCUGGUUAAUGAAGAUACCCUCAAACCAUUGCUAAGGGAGACCUAAGGCCAUUGGCUUCGGCCCAUUUGAACUCUUCACCUCCCGUUCCAAGAACCAGCCAGACAUAAAGUACAAAUCAACUAAUCCAAAUCCUUAUCUCAAGACUGAUGAUAUCUGAGCCACAAUGCGCAGUUUACAUUGCUAAGGAAAAAAUGGCAUCUAUUUCUGACAACCAGGGAGUUCAGACAUACCAGGAGCCAAAUUAAUCUGUGGGGUGUCUGAAGUGCUAUACGAACAGGU